CUCGGACCGGGACAUCAGCACAUGAAACAGACGUUUUGCUAUGAGGAUUCUGUUGUACGACAAAAUACCGGUCCUGUUGCUGCUCUGAUUCUUUGUGAAACUGGGCAAAGUGUGCUUAAAGGCUGUAAAAGGCUUUUUAGCCUUAUUCUGGGGGAAAAAAAUCACCCAACAUGUCCUGACUGGUGAUUCUACACAUGCGGUUCUCGUGGUCGUGUGAAAUCCAGUAAUUCCUGCUGAGACUGGAAGCUCCAAAUUUUCCAGAUUGGCUGUUUUUUCCCCUCCCCCGCUGUUUAAUCAGGUUUGGGAAAAUCACACAGUUUGUGUUAAAAAUACACGUUUGAAGCUUCGUGUCUAUUUUCUGGGUUGCCACGGUGACGAGUCCCGCCCCAUCUGAUGUGGGAUGGCAGCAAAGCAGUGAAAGCAAACGGUGAAGAUUUGUCGAUCGGAAACUGGUGAUCAAACAAAUGAGUAGAAAAGCACAGAUAGGGAAAGACCUGGUGUCAGCUCAUUAAUCAUCCUCAGACUGUCUGAAUAUUCCAGCAGCAUGACGCACGGCUGUAUUUUACACGUCCUUAUUGUCGGUGGCCGGUCUGUCGGAUCGGCUGUGACGGAUCCAAUCGAUGGAUGCUGACUCGUGUUGAACGUGAGGUUUCCAGCUGUGGAUCAUAGAAUCCUCCCUAUCGUCGAGGCGUCGCCGUGGCGUCGCUGCCAGGUUUCACCGUUUGAUGGAGGCGCUCCAGCGUUGGUCUGCGGAUGACAUCAUCACCCCAUCCGUCCGUGUGCAGCUCUUCACCAGGAGGGAGUGGCUCAGAUCCUCCGUUUACACACAAACACGAAUGAUUGUCCGUCUUCAGCGGGAUGCCAUGUGUGAUCUCUGUGCUGAACUGGACGCAAAAUGAAGACGAUUCUUUAGUUUUUACAUUAAAAACAGUCUUUUUCCUGCAUGCUGCUUCUUAUCGGGCUUUAAGCUGUGAAAGAGGAGCAGAAACGUAAACCCACAGUGUGUGUUUUUGGUGCCAGUGUUUUUGCAUUUAACAGCUUGCGUAGUCUAUAAAUGUUCACAUCCGUUAGCGCUCAUUUCGCUUCAAUGCGAGUUUGUCUUUUGUUAAAAAAACGUCUUGCUGCAGCUUUCAGAGACACUCAGAAGUUUGAGAGUUAAUAAAAUAGGAACCCAACAGCUCACUGUAAGAAGCCAUCUAAUGCUUCCUGAGGUUUUGUUUUUACUUCAUCUAUACGGGAAAUGCAGAAUGCUGAUGCUUAUUCUUUAAACAUAUCUGAACAUAUUCAGAGCAGCUUCUCCAAUAGAUUCUGAUGCUUUUUGUGUUGUUUUGAAGCUAAAUAUCGUUUAGAAGACCUCGUGAUCCUUUCAACAGCUUGAGAUUGAUCAUUAAAUGUGUAUUUUAUAGCUGCAUGUGAAUGUGAUGUCAGUGAUUAUAGUUCUGUCUGAAAGGCAUCCAUCAUCUUUACUACUGCCCUACAUCCUCUUUCUCCUGAUUUAGUCCUUUUCUUUUUCUUCACAAACUCGUGGUUCGGCAGCCGACCGCCUCUCUGCACAUAUGGAUUAUUAUUCUGCCAGGUAUUAUGCAGUUUUGCUCAGCCACUGUGGGGGUGGUGGGCAGCGGAUUGUGACCAGAUGAAGGCUAAUCUCUCCUUUGUCAGGCUGGAGGGAAGUGAGGAUGUCUGUGAUGUGUGGGCUUCCAGGAUUCUUACGUCACAUCUUUGCUGACACGGAUUGGGUUUAUAAAAUGUAAGAAAUGGUAGAAACAGGCUGCAACAGACGUGUGUCCACACCUGUGCAAUAACACUUAGAUAUCAGAUAAUUCAAAGCUACAUCACCUUCAAAAGCUGCAUUUAUUAGAUGAGAAUUAAAAACAUAAUAAAAAAGUCAGGCCCAAAAAUAGGAACUUAAUGCAACAAAAGGGAAUCCAGCUGUGAUCAAUGAAACUAAACAAUCAAUCUAACUGCAUGAACAUGGAUCAGUCCUGGAUCUGUGGACUGGGUCUAUCUAUGUCUGCAUCAUGGAUCCACAUGGAGAAGAACUGCACACAGGAAGAGAAACAUCUGACUGAGAGACUCGACAAAGGUGGAAAAAGAUCCAAGAAGAUCAGUGAGCAACUAAAAACCAGAGAAGCACGAACCAGGAGAUCUAGAAGAAGUCAUAGUUCCACUAAUCAGGAGGUCUAGAAGGAGUCAUAGUUCCACUAAUCAGGAGGUCUAGAAGGAGUCAUAGUUCCACUAAUCAGGAGGUCUAGAAGGAGUCAUAGUUCCACUAAUCAGGAGGUCUAGAAGGAGUCAUAGUUCCACUAAUCAGGUCUAGAAGGAGUCAUAGUUCCACUAAUCAGGAGGUCUAGAAGGAGUCAUAGUUCCACUAAUCAGAGCUCCUAAAAUGACUCCACAGACAGUGAACUACUUUCUCCAUCCAGCUGUAAAAACAGACAUCAGCUGCUUCAGACUUGGUUCAGGGGUUCUCCAUGGAAACCAGAGUUAGUGUGAAGCUCAGACAGUGUGAAGGAACCUUCAGAACAUCAACCUCUAUGGACGGAGGACCAGAACUAAAGCUGGUUGCUGCUCAGAACUAAACUUCCAGAUGAAAGUUUCCUGAGGUCUGAGGAUGAACCAGGAUACUGACUGACCAGAUGAAGAAGAGGAACAUUCCAGCAAGAAAAGUGAGAGCAAAGUAUAAAACCGAAUGUCUAAGAGACUAAAAACAUCUCCUUAGUGACUGGAAUUUAGUCCAAAAUUUCUCACAACUGUCUGAAAUGACUCAAAUUUGUCUGAAAGUACUUAAAAUCUGUUCAAUGCAAGAUAAGUUACUUGAAGCUGUUUGAAAUUACUCAAAAUGUGUCGACAACGAUACAACUAUCCUAAAUUACUGAAAAUUUGUUAAGUUUUCCCCAAAUCUGCCCAAAAUUUGUCAAAAUGGGAUAAAGUAUGACGAAAAUUACCAAAGAGUUGUCCAAGAUGAGCUCAAAUGUGUCCAGAAUGAGUCCAAGCUUCAGUUAUCAACUACAAAGAAAUGAGUCUAGAUCGGACCUGGACAGUGAGUCCUGAAGCCAACAGAAGCUUUGAGGUGUUCUCCAGAGAAAGGUAGAGCAACACAACGCUCCAGCAAAGAGCAGCUGAAUAAAACAGAGAAGAAUGAGAGAAAGUGUGAGCAGAAAUGAGUGGACUCUGGUUUCCUCCAUGCUGAGGACUAAAGGAGAACAUACGAAGGACUGGAGGAACCAAAGAACCUCAGGAAACAAAGGACUUUUGUUGCAUUGACUUCUUGUUGUGGAGAAAACUGAAAUGUUCCGUUUAAAUUUCACAUGUCAGGUGAUACGAUGUUGAGUCAUUUGACAUUUAGGUAAUGUUGUAUCCUGUAGACCACCAAAUAAAAGCUUUUAAUGAUCGUACAGAAACAGCAGCGUUAAUUCAUCGUCCACUCAGCUCCUUGAUGGUCUCGAUGGACGAGAUAGAAAAUGACAAAAAUGACACCAAAAGACAAAAACAAGACCCAAAACGACAAAAAUUAGACAAAAACAACAAAAACAAGAGAAAAUGUCAUAAACAAGACAAAAUGCCAGAAAUGAGACAGAAGAUGACAAAAAUGAGAAAACGAUAAAAAUGAGACAGAAAACGACAAAAACAAGACAAAAUGAGAAAAGUAAGACAAGAAACGACACAAAAUGACCAAAACAAGACACAAAACGACAAAAUGAGACAAAACGACAGAAAUUAGACAGAAAACAACAGAAACAAGAGAAAAUGUCAUAAACAAGACAUAAAAUGAGAAAACGAUAAAAAUGAGACAGAAAACGACAAAAACAAGACAAAAUGAGAAAAGUAAGACAAGAAACGACACAAAAUGACCAAAACAAGACACAAAACGACAAAAAUGAGACAAAACGACAGAAAUUAGACAGAAAACAACAAAAACAAGAGAAAAUGUCAUAAACAAGACAUAAAAUGACAAAAACGAGACAAAAUGACAAAAACUCGACAGAAAACGACAGACCAAGUCUCAGUGGAAACAGGUGAAAUGAAAACGGCACAGAAAAUGAUGAACGUUCCAGCUGCAGGACUGUAGAGGUUUGGUAAACACCAGAUUCUGUACGUGAUUGUUUACUUGUUGUUCUGAGGCGUCUCCUCACUGGAUGGAGGGAUGGAGGGAUCUGCUGUCGGCAGUUUGGACGAUCCUUCCAGGACGCCACCAUUAGCAGCAGAUAUCAGUAUAAUCCAUGUGAAAGAGGACGUCCUGUCAAUCCGCUUCAGGAAUCAUCCUCUUAAUCACCUCGAGCCGAAGAGAAGCUUCACCUGCAGACGACGUCGGCUCCAGUCUUUACGUUUAUCUGGGUUACAGUCGGUCCUAAUGGUGCAGUGGUUCUGAGCUUGUCAUCUUACAUUAGAACACAGCUUUGACUCCUGAGUGCAUCUUCAGGCCACUCUGAGUGUGUCUCUGCCUUUGUGUAUCUGUCUGAGAAACCUCACAACGAAGACGCACAAACAAACUGUUGGACAAUCAGGCGAGACGCCGCCUAACGAGCUCAGUGUGAAAACAGGAGUGUGUGUGUGUGGACUGCAUCCAGAUAAUUAAUAAUUAGCACACUGCAACUAAAAUUCACUUCAUCAACUAAUCUUCUGCUAUGUCCCCCCCACAACCCAUCGUUAACACAAAGAUGUUCAGUUUAGCAUCGAGUAUGGCAAUGAAACGCAAAAAAACCUCCUAAAAAUGGCAAAUGAAAUAAAUGCAGAUUCAUUUUCAGCUGAUCAGCUGAAGUCUACAAUAUAUAAAACCUAGUAAAAUACUAAAAGAAAUGUAAAAUAAAUACUAAAACCCUUCAGUCUAUCAGCAACAUUUUCAGGCCAUUUCCACAAAAAUCUAAUUUCAACUGUUAGUAGACAGUCGUCUGCAUAGAAACCAUCUGAACUUUAGACCAAAAAACAACAAACAUUUAAAAAUAGACAACGUACAUCAUUAACAUUUAAUGAAGACAUUCCUCUGUGCUCAGCAACAUUUAAAUAAUACAGCAUCAGAAGAAGAAUUAACAGUAAAUAAUAUCGUAUUAAAAUAAAAACCCAUUUGGACGUUUUAGCAGCUGGAACAAGGAAAAUAAAAACAUAUAAAGUAAGUAUUGUCAUUCGGGUUUCAAGGACACGCUCUGAAAUUCAUGUAUCUGGUGGAUUUUAAAUAAUUUAUGAAGCGAGAAAUAAUUUACAUCCUGGCAACGUGUUCUCAGACAGAGGGGGGGUUUAAGUCAGGAGGAAAAUGUGAUUUAAAAAAACAUCAAGUGCUGAAGAAAGACAACGUUUCCUGUCAGAAAGGUGUAAAAAAAGAAACGACGGCGUAGCACUGAUGUUCAGUCCUGUUUGGUUAUAGAACAGUUCAGUGUUCUGUAUGUUAAUAUUUAUGUUCCUGAAAAAUGUGUUCAUUUUAUUGGUCACUCAUAUUUAUUUUAAUCUUUGCUCUUUUUGUCAUGUGUGAAAUAAAUCAAUGUUAUUCAUCACUGAAAUAAAAUCGAAAAAAUGAGUUCAAGCAUAAAUUAAAUUCUAAAAUUUUAGUUGAAGGUCAUUUAUGGUCACAAAGUUAAUUAAAAAUAAAUAAAUUGGUCUAUAUACACACAGUUUUAAAGAGUAAAAAAUAAAAAUGUAAUAACAUGAUUCUGUAAAAGAAUAAAAAAACAGCAUUAAAAAAAUAAGAGUGAAACAACCAAGAACACGAUAUAUAUAUUAUCGUGCUGACUUAUGAGUCAAACGCGCCACCAAUGUCCUCCAGCCAUCCCGGUCCGACAUGAGGCCAGCAAGCUCCUCCUUUAUUGCGCCGGUGUGCAAACAAAGAGUUUUGAGGUAGGAGAGCUUUUUUAAUGUUGGCCUAGGUUCAAAUAGUAGAAGAUCUGAGAUUAGCUGUUCUUUUGCGCGGAAUGCGUGGCCAGCGAAUUUCAACGUCCUCUUAGUGAUGGUUUCGGCCAACGGCGGUAUUAAGCCGUUGCCAUAGAGAUAAGAAUUUCGGACGUGUGCCGUCCAGUCCACGUUUUGCACUGUUCGAAGCAGGCGGGUAUAGCAGCCGUUGAGACGGUUUAGCAUCUCCUGGUUGACCGUCCAUGUUUCGCACCCAUAAAGUAGCACGGAUUCGACCGGAACAGUUGGAACAGUCGGAGUCUGUGUUCGAUUGGCAAUGGGGACUUCCAGACAUUUGUUAGCUUCUUGCAAGCCUUUGUAGCAAGCGCCUUCCUAACGCUGAUGUCCUUGUCACUUGUUCUGAUCCAUGACCCAAGAUACUAAUGAUAGAAACUACAAAACAAGAUUAAAAAACAGUAAAAAAAAAGAAAGAAAGCUGAAAAUGCUUGAAAAAAAUGAGACAAAUAAAAAAAGAAUAACUAAACAAAGCUAAAUUGUUAAACAGGUUUUUUUUUAAAUGGUAUGAAAAUAAUAAAUAAAAACAGUGAUUUGAAAAGCUUAAAAGUGGAAGAACAAGAAGAAAAAAUAAGAAAAUAGAUCUAAGACUGUUCUCAAUACAACAUAAAUAUAUUAAAAAUAAUUCACUGUCACAGCGGAGUCAGAAUUCAAGAUGUUCUGUCAGAGAACGCUGAGCUUUUAUUGAUGAUUUAUUUCAGUCUUAUCAGGGAGAUGAUCAAUAAUAUUAUCCAGCCUUCACUCGUUUAUGGAUGCUCACUGUGGUGUCAUCUGGAAACAUGUCUGUUCCUAAACAAAGAAAACACACACACACACACACACACACACACACACACACACACACACACACACACACACACACACACACACAGCGUGGCCGUGUGUGUUCAGCCUGCCCCACUUUUUACCAGGUCACUGGGUCUUUCCUGCCUUUAAAGCCCAAAUAUGGAAAUAUGACGAGGAUUAUAACAUGGCUCAAAUUCAGGACACACACUCACACACACAGAAACACGGGCGCCCA